rnacentral:rRNA from 1 species
UUAAGCGACUAAGCGUACACGGUGGAUGCCCUGGCAGUCAGAGGCGAUGAAGGACGUGCUAAUCUGCGAAAAGCGUCGGUAAGGUGAUAUGAACCGUUAUAACCGGCGAUGUCCGAAUGGGGAAACCCAGUGCAAUUCGUUGCACUAUCGUUAACUGAAUACAUAGGUUAACGAGGCGAACCGGGGGAACUGAAACAUCUAAGUACCCCGAGGAAAAGAAAUCAACCGAGAUUCCCCCAGUAGCGGCGAGCGAACGGGGAGCAGCCCAGAGUCUGAAUCAGCUUGUGUGUUAGUGGAACGGUCUGGAAAGUCCGACGGUACAGGGUGAUAGUCCCGUACACCAAAAUGCACAGGUUGUGAACUCGAAGAGUAGGGCGGGACACGUGGUAUCCUGUCUGAAUAUGGGGGGACCAUCCUCCAAGGCUAAAUACUCCUGACUGACCGAUAGUGAACCAGUACCGUGAGGGAAAGGCGAAAAGAACCCCGGCGAGGGGAGUGAAAAAGAACCUGAAACCGUGUACGUACAAGCAGUGGGAGCACCUUCGGGUGUGACUGCGUACCUUUUGUAUAAUGGGUCAGCGACUUAUAUUCUGUAGCAAGGUUAACCGUAUAGGGGAGCCGCAGGGAAACCGAGUCUUAACUGGGCGUUAAGUUGCAGGGUAUAGACCCGAAACCCGGUGAUCUAGCCAUGGGCAGGUUGAAGGUUGGGUAACACUAACUGGAGGACCGAACCGACUAAUGUUGAAAAAUUAGCGGAUGACUUGUGGCUGGGGGUGAAAGGCCAAUCAAACCGGGAGAUAGCUGGUUCUCCCCGAAAGCUAUUUAGGUAGCGCCUCGUGAACUCAUCUUCGGGGGUAGAGCACUGUUUCGGCUAGGGGGUCAUCCCGACUUACCAACCCGAUGCAAACUACGAAUACCGAAGAAUGUUAUCACGGGAGACACACGGCGGGUGCUAACGUCCGUCGUGAAGAGGGAAACAACCCAGACCGCCAGCUAAGGUCCCAAAGUCAUGGUUAAGUGGGAAACGAUGUGGGAAGGCACAGACAGCCAGGAUGUUGGCUUAGAAGCAGCCAUCAUUUAAAGAAAGCGUAAUAGCUCACUGGUCGAGUCGGCCUGCGCGGAAGAUGUAACGGGGCUAAACCAUGCACCGAAGCUGCGGCAGCGACACGAUGUGUUGUUGGGUAGGGGAGCGUUCUGUAAGCCUGCGAAGGUGACCUGUGAGGGUUGCUGGAGGUAUCAGAAGUGCGAAUGCUGACAUAAGUAACGAUAAAGCGGGUGAAAAGCCCGCUCGCCGGAAGACCAAGGGUUCCUGUCCAACGUUAAUCGGGGCAGGGUGAGUCGACCCCUAAGGCGAGGCCGAAAGGCGUAGUCGAUGGGAAACAGGUUAAUAUUCCUGUACUUGGUGUUACUGCGAAGGGGGGACGGAGAAGGCUAUGUUAGCCGGGCGACGGUUGUCCCGGUUUAAGCAUGUAGGCUGAUUAUCCAGGCAAAUCCGGAUAAUCAAGGCUGAGGUGUGAUGACGAGGCACUACGGUGCUGAAGUAACAAAUGCCCUGCUUCCAGGAAAAGCCUCUAAGCAUCAGGUAACAUCAAAUCGUACCCCAAACCGACACAGGUGGUCAGGUAGAGAAUACCAAGGCGCUUGAGAGAACUCGGGUGAAGGAACUAGGCAAAAUGGUGCCGUAACUUCGGGAGAAGGCACGCUGGUGUGUAGGUGAAGUCCCUGCGGAUGGAGCUGAGACCAGUCGAAGAUACCAGCUGGCUGCAACUGUUUAUUAAAAACACAGCACUGUGCAAACACGAAAGUGGACGUAUACGGUGUGACGCCUGCCCGGUGCCGGAAGGUUAAUUGAUGGGGUUAUCCGUAAGGAGAAGCUCUUGAUCGAAGCCCCGGUAAACGGCGGCCGUAACUAUAACGGUCCUAAGGUAGCGAAAUUCCUUGUCGGGUAAGUUCCGACCUGCACGAAUGGCGUAAUGAUGGCCAGGCUGUCUCCACCCGAGACUCAGUGAAAUUGAACUCGCUGUGAAGAUGCAGUGUACCCGCGGCAAGACGGAAAGACCCCGUGAACCUUUACUAUAGCUUGACACUGAACAUUGAGCCUUGAUGUGUAGGAUAGGUGGGAGGCUUUGAAGCGUGGACGCCAGUCUGCGUGGAGCCAACCUUGAAAUACCACCCUUUAAUGUUUGAUGUUCUAACGUGGGCCCCUAAUCGGGGUUGCGGACAGUGUCUGGUGGGUAGUUUGACUGGGGCGGUCUCCUCCCAAAGCGUAACGGAGGAGCACGAAGGUUAGCUAAUCCUGGUCGGACAUCAGGAGGUUAGUGCAAUGGCAUAAGCUAGCUUGACUGCGAGCGUGACGGCGCGAGCAGGUGCGAAAGCAGGUCAUAGUGAUCCGGUGGUUCUGAAUGGAAGGGCCAUCGCUCAACGGAUAAAAGGUACUCCGGGGAUAACAGGCUGAUACCGCCCAAGAGUUCAUAUCGACGGCGGUGUUUGGCACCUCGAUGUCGGCUCAUCACAUCCUGGGGCUGAAGUAGGUCCCAAGGGUAUGGCUGUUCGCCAUUUAAAGUGGUACGCGAGCUGGGUUUAGAACGUCGUGAGACAGUUCGGUCCCUAUCUGCCGUGGGCGCUGGAGAAUUGAGGGGGGCUGCUCCUAGUACGAGAGGACCGGAGUGGACGCAUCACUGGUGUUCGGGUUGUCAUGCCAAUGGCACUGCCCGGUAGCUAAAUGCGGAAGAGAUAAGUGCUGAAAGCAUCUAAGCACGAAACUUGCCCCGAGAUGAGUUCUCCCUGAGACUAUAAGUCUCCUGAAGGAACGUUGAAGACGACGACGUUGAUAGGCCGGGUGUGUAAGCGCAGCGAUGCGUUGAGCUAACCGGUACUAAUGAACCGUGAGGCUUAACCUU